rnacentral:rRNA from 1 species
GUUGAACGCUAGCGGCAUGCCUUACACAUGCAAGUCGAACGGCAGCACGGGGGCAACCCUGGUGGCGAGUGGCGAACGGGUGAGUAAUGCAUCGGAACGUGCCCAUCGAUGGGGGAUAACUGCGCGAAAGCGUUGCUAAUACCGCAUACGACCUACGGGUGAAAGCAGGGGACCGCAAGGCCUUGCGUCGAUGGAGCGGCCGAUGCCGGAUUAGCUAGUUGGUGAGGUAAAGGCUCACCAAGGCGACGAUCCGUAGCUGGUCUGAGAGGACGACCCAGCCACACUGGGACUGAGACACGGCCCAGACUCCUACGGGAGGCAGCAGUGGGGAAUCUUGGACAAUGGGCGAAAGCCUGAUCCAGCAAUGCCGCGUGUGGGAAGAAGGCCUUCGGGUUGUAAACCACUUCUGGCGGGAAAGAAAUGGUCUGUGCUAAUACCACGGAUUGAUGACGGUACCCGCAGAAUAAGCACCGGCUAACUACGUG